GCUUAUGAGUAGAAUUGAUUCUCUGUGUGCGCCGUGUGCGGAUAGCUUGCUAUGCGUGUGUGGCUGCGUGUGGAUUGAGUCGAGACGUAACUUAUUGCCGUUCGGGACGUUGACGAAAUGGAGCGAUUUGACCCGUCUUGAAACACGGACCAAGGAGUCUAACAUGUGUGCAAGUGUUAGGGUGUGGAAACCCCAGCGCGUAAUGAAAGUAAAGGAUAGCGUAAGUUAUCUGAGGUAGGAAAUGCUGCGGGUUCGUCCUGCGGCGUGGCACUAUCGACCGAUCAUGAACCCUCGUGGUGAAAGAUUUGAGUUUGAGCACAUAUGUUGGUACCCGAAAGAUGGUGAACUAUGCCUGAGUAGGGUGAAGCCAGGGGAAACUCUGGUGGAAGCUCGUAGCGAUUCUGACGUGCAAAUCGAUCGUCAAACUUGGGUAUAGGGGCGAAAGACUAAUCGAACCAUCUAGUAGCUGGUUCCCUCCGAAAUUUCCCUCAGGAUAGCAGCAACUUAUUUACGAUAGUUUUAUGAGGUAAAGCGAAUGAUUAGAGGAUUCGGGGAAGAAACUUUCUCGACCUAUUCUCAAACUUUAAAUCUGUAAGACCUGCAGGUUUCUUAAUU
rnacentral:rRNA from 1 species